rnacentral:rRNA from 1 species
UGAGCCAAGUUUAGGGUUUUCUCAAAACCAAGUUAGAUGUUUGAACUGAAGAGUUUGAUCAUGGCUCAGAUUGAACGCUGGCGGCAGGCCUAACACAUGCAAGUCGAGCGGCAGCACGGGUACUUGUACCUGGUGGCGAGCGGCGGACGGGUGAGUA